rnacentral:lncRNA from 1 species
CGACUCCCGCGAUCGCCGGGGGCGGGGCUCGCAGUUGGGAACUCCCCUUCCGAGGCCGAGGUGCGUCCGUGAGUCCACGAGGCUGGGUGGUCGGGAAGUGGACUCAGGCCGGGUGGCCAGGUUACUGGCCGCGCCGCCGCGGCCGCCAUCUUGCCCGUGUGUGGACUCCCCCGGCGGGAGGGGCGGUGACUAGGCCGGAAGCGGCAGUACGACGGGCGCAUUGCCUCCCAGAUGAGCAUCUGGUGAGGAACACAGAAUCAUCAACAUGGCUUUCCUUUGCUCAGAAACCAUUACUGGGAAGUGAGUCCUUGUUAUACUUGAAGAUUUUCAGUGAAUGGACCUAACUGGACU